rnacentral:lncRNA from 7 species
GAGGUCCUGGCAGCCCAGUCCCAGCAUGCUGCAUCCCCCCGAGGUACCAUUGCCGUGUGAGCUGCAAGCGGCACAGAGAGGCAGGCUCGGUUAUACCCAGAGCUCUUUGGGGCAGAGAGCCAGUCUUUCUCUAGAUGGGAACACAUGAGGCUGAACUUUGCAUUGCUAGCGUCUCUAGAGCCAACAGCAAAAGAUCCUUUUAUUCCUCCUUUCCCAAAUGAUCAGCCAAUGUUUUAGGAAAGAAUGAACUUCAGAUCUUCUGAGCAUGCAAAGCAACAAGGCAUCAAGGCAGCAGUGACACAAGCAGCAAUAUCCUUUGGUAAAUGCCGCUCAAUGCAGCAGAGCUUCCGAGCGAUUAAAGGAGUCUUGGAAAUGUCAUUGCCCUGACCAAAUGAGAUAAUUUGUAUCUUCUGUCACUGGAAUCAAAUGCUAUUUUUUCUUUUUUGUAAUUAACUUGUGACUGUGGGAAGGUGGGAGUAGGGAUGGGGGUUGGGAAGGGAAUUUUAUGGGUAAUCCAGCCGCUGCAUGGAAAUGAUGGUUGGGUAAUUGUGUUCUCUAAAUGAACUUGACU